rnacentral:rRNA from 1 species
AUACGGAGGAUGCGAGCGUUAUCCGGAUUUAUUGGGUUUAAAGGGAGCGUAGGUGGGAUAUUAAGUCAGCUGUGAAAGUUUGGGGCUCAACCUUAAAAUUGCAGUUGAUACUGGUUUCCUUGAGUACGGUACAGGUGGGCGGAAUUCGUGGUGUAGCGGUGAAAUGCUUAGAUAUCACGAAGAACUCCGAUCGCGAAGGCAGCUCACCGGGCCGGAACUGACACUGAUGCUCGAAAGUGCGGGUAUCAAACAGGAUUAGAUACCCUGGUAGUCCGCACAGUAAACGAUGAAUACUCGCUGUUUGCGAUACACGGUAAGCGGCCAAGCGAAAGCGUUAAGUAUUCCACCUGGGGAGUACGCCAGCAACGGUGAAACUCAAAGGAAUUGACGGGG